rnacentral:pre_miRNA from 1 species
UCUUCGUUCGGCGUACUCUCUCACCGGUCAGAUUAACGAGAGAGUACGACGAAUGAAGAGA